UGCUCAUUGCAUGGGCUAUGU
rnacentral:miRNA from 1 species